rnacentral:rRNA from 1 species
UACGUAGGGUGCAAGCAUUAAUCGGAAUUAUUGGGCGUAAAGGGCGCGUAGGCGGACUAGUAAGUCAGAUGUGAAAUUCCGGGGCUCAACCUCGGAGCUGCAUUUGAAACUGCUUAGUCUUGAGGGUUGACGGAGAAAACGGAAUUCCACGUGUAGCGGUGAAAUGCGUAGAUAUGUGGAAGAACACCAGUGGCGAAGGCGGUUUUCUAGUUAAUACCUGACGCUGAGGCGCGAGAGCAAGGGGAGCAAACAGG